rnacentral:rRNA from 11 species
CAGGUAGGACUACCCGCUGAACUUAAGCAUAUC